rfam:Hordeum vulgare subsp. vulgare, WGS project CAJW01000000 data, contig: morex_contig_275009
UUUUUCAAAUGAUGUGUUGCAACUUCAUUGCCUACAUUGUUUGACAAGUAGUUAAUGAAUAAAAUUGCAAUGACCAAGGCUUAA